rnacentral:rRNA from 1 species
ACGCUGGCGGCAGGCCUAACACAUGCAAGUCGAGCGGUAGCACAGGAGAGCUUGCUCUCUGGGUGACGAGCGGCGGACGGGUGAGUAAUGUCUGGGAAACUGCCUGAUGGAGGGGGAUAACUACUGGAAACGGUAGCUAAUACCGCAUGACCUCGCAAGAGCAAAGUGGGGGACCUUCGGGCCUCACGCCAUCGGAUGUGCCCAGAUGGGAUUAGCUAGUAGGUGGGGUAAUGGCUCACCUAGGCGACGAUCCCUAGCUGGUCUGAGAGGAUGACCAGCCACACUGGAACUGAGACACGGUCCAGACUCCUACGGGAGGCAGCAGUGGGGAAUAUUGCACAAUGGGCGCAAGCCUGAUGCAGCCAUGCCGCGUGUGUGAAGAAGGCCUUAGGGUUGUAAAGCACUUUCAGCGAGGAGGAAGGCGCUGCAGUUAAUAGCUGCAGCGAUUGACGUUACUCGCAGAAGAAGCACCGGGCUAACUCCGUGCCAGCAGCCGCGGUAAUACGGAGGGUGCAAGCGUUAAUCGGAAUUACUGGGCGUAAAGCGCACGCAGGCGGUUUGUUAAGUCAGAUGUGAAAUCCCCGAGCUUAACUUGGGAACUGCAUUUGAAACUGGCAAGCUAGAGUCUUGUAGAGGGGGGUAGAAUUCCAGGUGUAGCGGUGAAAUGCGUAGAGAUCUGGAGGAAUACCGGUGGCGAAGGCGGCCCCCUGGACAAAGACUGACGCUCAGGUGCGAAAGCGUGGGGAGCAAAC